rnacentral:miRNA from 1 species
UUGCGUUUUUCAUACGUACGUAUACGCACGUAAAACUUUAAAUCCGUUUAAAUGUUACUUAUGAAAUAACCAAAUAAAUAAAGCAACAGAAUUUAGUGUUCCGCAAGUUUUAGUAUGCAUUUGUUAACUUAUUUGUAAAAUAUUUAAAAAAUAGAAGGAUUCAAAGUUUUACGUGCGUGUACGUGCGUACGAAAAACGCAA